ensembl:lncRNA
AUGAUGGAUGAACAUUUAUUAGAUAUAAUUACACAUUAUAUUAUAAAAUUAAAUAAAGUUCCAUUAUAUUUAAGAUUUUUACCAUCAUAUAAUAUUGGUUCCCUUACAGAUAUAAAAAAAGAAAUAAAAAGAUUAAAAUUUUUAAAUGAAUUUUAUAAACUGUAUUUUGAUAAAUAUAAUAAAUGGAAAGUAGUUAUAAUUAACAAUCGUAUACAUAUAUUUGAAAAAAAAAAUAAAGAAAAAAAAAAUAAACCAUUUUUAUUAAAAACGGGUUAUAAUACUAAUGUAAAAUUACAAACACAAAAUAAAAAUGAAGAGGAAGAAAAGGAAUCUAAUAAAAAUAAUCAAGGUCUUACUGAAAAAGAAAUAGAACAAAUACAUAAAAAAAUACUUAAAUUUAAAGAAACAAAUAAAAUAUAUAAUGGUGAUGAUUCAGAAGGAGAAUAUGAAAAUGGAGAUUCUUAUGAAAAAGAUAAAAAAAAUAAAAUAAAAAAAAAAAAAAGUAUUUUGAGAAAAGGUAAUCAUAAAAAAUAUGAUUGGCCUGGUAAUUCUUAUGAUGAUGAAUUAAAUGAUGGGGAAAUAUAUGAUGGUGAAGAAAUGGAUAAUGAAAAAGAAAUGGAUGAUGGUGAAGAAUAUGAAGAAACGGAUGAAGAAACUGAUGAAGAAACGGAUGAAGAAAUUGAUGAAGAAAUUGAUGAAGAAAUUGAUGAAGAAACGGAUGAAGAAACGGAUGAAGAAAUUGAGGGAGAUGAAAAAAAUGAAGGAGAUGAAAAAAAUGAAGGAGAUGAAAAAAAUGAAAUAGAUAUAUUACAAAAAUGUUCUACUAAAAAUGUAGUUGAUUCAAAUUUGGAAAUUUUAAACUCAAACGAAGAAUGUGAUUAUACAAACAAUUUAACAAUUGAUGAAAAUAGUAAAUCAUCAAAGUUUCUAACAAAAAAUAAUUGUGCUGGUAGAAGUAGUAGAGCCAAUAAUAAUAAUAAUAAUAAUAAUAAUAAUAAUGUUAAUAAUAAUAAUGUUAAUAAUAAUAAUGUUAAUAAUAAAAAUGCAAAUUAUUUUGUUUCUAAUCCUGUAAAUUUAUUUUGGUUUGGUGGACCAUUACCAGGAUUAACAAUAUUACAUAAUAUAAAAAAAUAUUCAAAAAAUAUUGUUAUAAAUGAUUUAUUAUAUGAAGGUUAUAAUGAAAAUGUGGAUCUAACAAAUACUAAUACAAAAAUAAAUAGUAGUAACUAUAAAAAUACGACUUGUGAAGGUACUACUCGUGAAGCUACCAAUUGUGAAGGUACCAGUUCUGACAUAAAACAAGAAACAUUUGAAGAAAAUACAAUACAAAAAAAAGAUCAAUAUGAAAUAAUUAAUAAAACUGAUAAAAUAGAAACACAAAACAUGUUUUGCAAUAAUGAAAAUAAAAACUCAUUUAAUCCUGAUAAAACAAAAGUUAAUACAAAAUUAAUAAAAAGAUUUAUAGGUAAAGCAACAUGGGAUAUUAAUCAGUUAAUAGAUGAAUUAAAAAAUAAUUACUGGAUUCCAAUCGAUUGCCAAAAUAAUAAUUUGUUAUCAAAUAUAAUUUUUAACUCAUCUAACCUAUCUAACUCACUGUAUAAUGGUCGUCCUAGUACAACUGGUACAGGUAGAGCCACUACCGGAAGAACCAGUAGAAUAAAUACUGGUAGUAAUAAUAUAAAUAAUAAUACAUAUGCUUAUAAUUCAAAUUCAAAUUAUAUGAAUACGUAUACAGGUGAACAUUUAUGGGAAAAAAUUUUAGGAUCUUUAAAUAAAGAUUAUGAACAUAUUUCUCAAAUACCUCAAUAUGUUAUAGACAAUGUUUUAAAAGACUUCAGAGGCGUUGAAACUGAGUGA